rnacentral:rRNA from 1 species
AUGCAAGUCGAGCGAAGCUUUUCAGUAGUUUACUACAGAAAAUGACUGAGCGGCGAAAGGGUGAGUAACGCGUGAGCAAUCUACCUUAGUUACAGGGAUAGCCCGAGGAAACUCGGAUUAAUACCUGAUACUCUUUAUAUUUCGCAUGAAAUUAAAAGGAAAGGUCAGCCGAACUAAGAUGAGCUCGCGUUCUAUCAGCUAGUUGGUGAGGUAAAAGCUCACCAAGGCUACGACGGAUAGCUGGUCUGAGAGGACGAUCAGCCACACUGGGACUGAGACACGGCCCAGACUCCUACGGGAGGCUGCAGCAGGGAAUAUUGUGCAAUGAACGAAAGUUUGACACAGCGACACCGCGUGUGGGAUGACGGAUCUAGGUUUGUAAACCACUUUCAGGAGGGAAGAAAAUGACGGUACCUCCACAAGAAGCCCCGGCCAACUACGUGCCAGCAGCCGCGGUAAUACGUAGGGGGCGAGCGUUGUCCGGAUUUAUUGGGCGUAGAGAGCUCGUAGCGGUUCAACAAGUCGUUCGUGAAAGUUCAGGGCUCACCCCUGAAAUGUCGAUCGAUACU